rnacentral:tRNA from 2 species
CGGGGCGUAGCUCAGCCCGGUAAGAGCGCUGCGUUUGGGACGCAGAGGUCGCUGGUUCGAAUCCAGUCGCCCCGACCA